rnacentral:lncRNA from 1 species
GGGUGGGUUGCCAACUUAUUGGCAUGUGAAUUUAGAGGAGAUCUAUCUCUUCUUGGGUGAGCGAUUUGGGUCUUGGUGCUGAGGGUUUUUGGGAGGAAGGAAUCCAAAGUAAAGAAAGGUGUUUCUCUGCCUUUCUUCCACUAUCUACAUCCUCUAUCAAUCCAUCUUCAACAUCAAAAGGGUCUGAGUUGUUCAAAGAAAGAGAUCAAAUCAAAUCCGCCAUC